rnacentral:misc_RNA from 1 species
AAGUCGUAACAAGGUUUCCGUAGGUGAACCUGCGGAAGGAUCAUUACCAUGAUAAAACAUAGUGAUGUGGAUUUGUAGUAGUAGCAGCGUGUGUGUGCGCACGGGUUUGUCCUGUGUGUGUGUGCGCGCUAUACUAUUAUGUUGGUGUGUGUAUGUGUGUGUGCGUAUGCACACAUACUACUACACCUAUACUAGAACCAUUAGUUUUGUUGAAUACAAAUAUACAUACAACUUUUAACAAUGGAUCUCUAGGCUCUU